rnacentral:rRNA from 1 species
AACGUAGGUACCGAGCGUUAUCCGGAUUUACUGGGCGUAAAGCGCGUUCAGGCGGUUUGGCAAGUCGGGCAUGAAAUCUCUCGGCUCAACCGGGAGAGGUUGUCCGAUACUUCCAGACUUGAGGGCAGUAGAGGGUGGUGGAAUUCCGGGUGUAGUGGUGAAAUGCGUAGAGAUCGGGAGGAACACCUGUGGCGAAGGCGGCCACCUGGGCCGACCCUGACGCUGAGGCGCGAAGGCGUGGGGGAGCGAACGGG